CUUGCGGCUUUUUUGCUCCUGUAGUUCAGUGAGCAGGAGGGAGUGGCACUCAGCAGCUUGUUCACUCCCACAGCUCGGUGAGCGGGAGGGAGUGUUACAGCUCUUUUACUCCUGCCAUCUUCAGCUUGGCUAGCAGGAGCAUUACAGCUCUUUCACUCCCACAGUUCUACAAGUUCUGAGUUCUUGUUUCACCACCUAGAAGAAUAAGGUAGUAUGGAGAAUAGUAACUACAUUCGCUAUGAACUUUUAAUCUCUAAUAAUCACAAUCACUUAGCUUUGACUUGUAUUUGUUCACAAUGUCCUGAAGAAACAAGUUUGAGCUUUUCUGACAUUAAGGUUCUUGGAAAACUUUACAUCAAUUACAGUGAAAGAGAACAAUCAAUAAAGCAC